rnacentral:rRNA from 1 species
AGUGAACGCUGGCGGUAGGCCUAACACAUGCAAGUCGAACGGCAGCACAGUAAGAGCUUGCUCUUACGGGUGGCGAGUGGCGGACGGAUGAGGAAUACAUCGGAAUCUACUUUUUCGUGGGGGAUAACGUAGGGAAACUUACGCUAAUACCGCAUACGACCUACGGGUGAAAGCAGGGGAUCUUCGGACCUUGCGCGAUUGAAUGAGCCGAUGUCGGAUUAGCUAGUUGGCGGGGUAAAGGCCCACCAAGGCGACGAUCCGUAGCUGGUCUGAGAGGAUGAUCAGCCACACUGGAACUGAGACACGGUCCAGACUCCUACGGGAGGCAGCAGUGGGGAAGAUUGGACAAUGGGCGCAAGCCUGAUCCAGCCAUACCGCGUGGGUGAAGAAGGCCUUCGGGUUGUAAAGCCCUUUUGUUGGGAAAGAAAAGCAGCAGGUUAAUACCCCGCUGUUCUGACGGUACCCAAAGAAUAAGCACCGGCUAACUUCGUG